AAUAAGUACAGUUUUGCACUAUUCACAUUCAACGUUUAACCGUUCGUCUUAUUUAAUUUUUUUUAUAAUUAGUAUUUUUAUUGCUAUUAGAUGAUAAAACAUAAAUAAUACUUUAUGUGUGACUAAAUAUUUUCAAAUUUUUCAAAUAAGACGGACGGUCAAACGUUGAGCACGAAUAUCUACGACUGCACUUAUU
rnacentral:pre_miRNA from 1 species